GAGAUAAGGAACUCAAAAAAAAGCUUCUAACUUUAUUUUAAGCGGAGAAUCCCCGUUUUUAUCUCA
rnacentral:tRNA from 1 species